CCUGUACUCAACCUGCACCUGGCAAGUGCCAGGAGACAGAGCUGCUGGAGGCUGAACCAUGGGACUUGGAGUAGGAUUUGGUCCACAGCAGCUCACUCCAUCCCGACUGUAGCCCUGGUGCUAUAGCUUGGAUCUUGACUGUCCCCCAAAGGCCAAGCGUUAGAGGCUUCUUCGCCAGCUAGGGAGGCCGUGGAACCUCCUGAGUGUGAGGUGAGUUGAGCUUCUGCCCAGACGUACUGAUCCUCCACAGGCCUGGAGCCACAGAGCCACACAGCCAGACGGGAGCCUCUGAAACCGAAGGAAGGAUGAAAUGGAAAGUGGUUAUUAUGUGGAAGAAGAGGCCCCUUCCAAAAGAACGUCAGGAAUCUGG
ensembl:lncRNA